GUUCGGCUAGAACGCUGGCCACCUUGCAGGGUAUUGUUACGACGUCGAUCGAUACCGUUCCGAAUUCUAGUACUGCUCAACCACCCACCCAUAGUCUUCCCAGAAGAGGAUCCGGUGGACUAGAAUUGUUCAGUGGAUUUUGGCGCUCCAGGACAACAGACAUAUCUUCCGAUCCCCCACCGUCUUCUGGUCGUUUUAUUUUGCCCAGGCAAUCCUAUUCGGUCGAUUCUCAUUGUCCCGAGUCGUUUUUUAGAGGAUCCAGAAGUGAUCAGCAGCUCUGUACAAACGUAUCCUUACCUCUGGCAAACCAAGGAGGUGCCUCAGGGAUCUCUGCCAUCGAAGAGCGGCUGUUGUGCCAACCACGAAGAGGUUCUGUACCUUUAGAAGUAUCGUUUAUUUCCCUUCUAACAGGUAAACCAAACUACAGAGACACCAAGUGAAUCCCAAAACCCGAAUCCCACUAUUACCUCUAUCUAUGCAAGUCCACCAAACUGCGUAGUCCUAGGCUUUUCCAUAAAAAAAGAAAAAUUUCUUCGUUUUCUCCUGGAAAUUCCUAUAACUUUCCAGAAAAACUAUUCACCUUUAUGCAUUGCAAAAUAUCUUAAUGUUAAUUUUGUUGAUUUAUUUGUCCAGCAAUUUCCAAACAACAGAAUACCAUUCACCGACCAUCUUUUCCCAAAUGUCGUUGAUGGAUGUAUAUCUGUAUUGUUGUAAUGACGAGUAAAAAGUACUCUUAUGUUGUGCAUCUGGACAUUGUAAAAAACACUUCUGAGUAUAGUCGGUGUCGUGAUCUCGACAAGAUUGCUGGUAUGUCAAUGAGUCAGUAAACACGAUGACAAAUA